UUAUGCCCAGAUAAAUUUGUUAGUCUCUAAGGUGCCACAAGGACUCCUUGUUGUUUUAAUAUCCACAAGGCUCACUGAGUUCAAACUGUUGGCUGAGUUUGCAAACUCUGCUAAUUGAACCUAAUUGAAUUGAAUAGUUGUAGUUUGCAUACUGCAGAACUGUCUUGAGCGAGACACUCUCAUAGCUCACCUAGAAAUGCUGAUGACUAGAGAGCGAGAGCUCCAGUUAGUUUCAGCAAUGCACAGGUUAUGUGUAAUCCACCGGUGCAUGUGUGUUACAGGUCCCCUCUGUGUUUGAUCUUCAGAGAAUACAAAACUGUUACAGCCCUAGUUCUUUAGAUCAAGCUGUAGAAGCCAAUGCUUUUAUCUUUGGAGAUUCCUUGUUCAGUUACUGAUAUGUCAGCCAAGAUGGCAGAUGUCACACAUACAGAGUAUAAUGACUAGAUAUAGGGGAGAUCAUUCCUAAUUAGACAAGUCCACCAGGCCGCCUCAGGGGCCAGACUGUGGUCCCAGAGUUUCAAAGUUUUGGCUCAAGCAAGGCGACAUGGGGGCAUCAUUUGAGCUCCCUGCCUCAGGUGCCAAAAUGUUGUGGGUGUGAAGUCCACCCUACAGCUGAGCCACCGAAUGGCAGACAACACCAAGCACUGGAGUUUGCAGACCCUGCCUGAACUCCCAAGUGAAAAUUCCAGUAGACUUCAUUAGAAUCCUUCAGUUGGGCUUUGAUUUGCCCUGGUUUUUGGGGGUUUCAGCUGCAGAACUAGAAGCCGUAGGCAACACUAGAUUUGUUGUUCGGUUCUAAAACCUACAUGACCAACUGAAACUGUGAGAAUGAGCUAAAAAUGUAUCUGGAACUUCCACAAUGGAAUAGGUUAGUGCAGUCCAGCCAGAACUAGUGGGAAGGGUUUUUUUUCCCAUGAGUGAAUUCUAGUGCCAGAGUUACACUCAAGUGGCAGUCUUGUUCUAUUGAGUUCUGCCUGAAUAACGACUCCAGGUUCAGGUCCUCUUUAUUUUGCUCAUAUUAAAGAGGUUUUCAUUUCAGCCUUUUGAUGUUGUGGGAGGGGUCAGAAUGAUCCAGAAGAAUUUCUCUAUGCAGACCUUACUAGAGUUUACAUCUGUCACUUUCAACAAUUGUGUCUGAGGAGUACACUUGCCUUAUCACAAACUAUAUCUCACCAGAGUGGAAUGGACUGAACAAAAUCCUCAUAUAAUGCAGCAAGUGAAGUAACAGUCUGGCCCAAUACCAAGCAAGUGUUGGAAGUAGCCCAGAAGCAACCCAGAUUGUUAACAUCAGGCAGGAGAGGAGAUGAUCUGCACCCAGGAGAACACAGUAAUAAAAACAAGAUGGAAAAGUAUCCUUAUCUGGUCGGGGAUUGCAAUUCUUACAUCGUUUACCCCCACCGAAAACCACAGAUUAGCCUUGAUCCAAACUUCUCCAAGUUUGGAGGGACUGAGGUUCAGAUCAAAGCAUCUGGUUCAGGCUCACUCUACUAAUUGUGGCCCAGCUCCAGGAAAGCAUUUAAGCACAUGCAUAACUUUAGCACCUGAGCAGUCCCAUUGAUUUCAAUUAGACUACUCACCUAUUUAAUAUUAUGUAUGUGUUUGAGUUCUUUGUUGGAUUAUGGGCUCUCAAAAUUUCUAUGAAACCACAAUUUUUCUUGCCAAGAGAAGUGAGUGAUAUAUGUCAAGCACAUGGACAUAGGACUGGAAGGGAGCUCCUGGGUCAUCAACUCCAGUCCCCUGCUAUCACAGGCAUAUUACAGUUCAUGCAUUUGUCAAGUUCCAUCUAAAACUAGUUAAGUUAUUUGCCCCCACUCCUCUGAUGCUUAGAAACCUUCUAAUUUCCAGCCUCAGUUCAUUCAUGGCCAGUUUAUUUCUCUUUGUGCUUGUGCCAGCAUUAUCCUUUUGCUUAAAUAGUUCUUCUCCCUCUCUCAUGUUUACCCCCUGUCCUUCCUCCUCGAAAUGUAUUGAUAGGAAGUGAGCUGGAAAAUAGACAAAGAUGGGAACAGUGGAGUGAGGUUUUUGAGUAUUAGGAGGAAGUCUGAAAUAGACAAGAACCCAGUUAGGAUUUCUGUGGAUGUGGGAGGAGAUAAACCACUGGAUUUUAGCCAGUUGAUGGUUGGAGAAUUAGGUCUUAAGGAAUCCAUAAGAGGAAGUGGAGUAUUUUAUUCAUAUAUUAGUGGUUUAGUUUAAUGUUGUGACCAAAAUCAGAAAAUGUUUUACUUAUCUUAUAAAAUGCACCCAGUUACCAAAUCUUGGCUCACAUGUAUGUCAUUUAAUUUUUAAAAAAUCAAAACACUAUUUUAUUAGUCAGCCCAAAAAUAUGAGGAGAAACAUUCCGUCCAAAAUAUAAAUACCAGCACCCUCCCUUUCCGUGAUGAAAGUAUGAGAAAAGACAUGGGCCGAGCCCCACGCUCUAAUAGCCAGCAAUUAGGCUCUCUCAGAUCAGUGCAUGGAGCUAAUUCCAGAGCUAGGGCUGUGCAUGGAGAACACCUGGCUACCGCACUCAGAUGCCCGCAGCUAGAGCCUGUUAUAUUUGUGCCCAAGUAGAUUUCAGCUGCGGUGGUGGGAAAAACUAUUUUCUGUAUGGCCAGGACCCAGACUAGCUGACUGGCUUUAUGGUUCAAUUAAGAACUUACAGACUGGUAGAUUUUUAAGGCCAGAAGGUACCCUUAUGAUCAUCUAGUCUGACCUCCUGCAUAACACAACCAUAGAAUUUUACCAAGUGGUUCCUGCAUCAAGCCCAUAACACAUGGCUGAGCUAGAGCAUAUCACACAGAGACAGCUGAUCUUGAUUUGCUUGAAUUGCACUCAGAAGAGAUGAGGGAGCUUAUGCGCUUCCUGGCAAAGCAGUAUGUUUUGGAUGAUUAUCCAAACUGAACCUCCAGCGGUUUUGCCAUCACUAAUUUAAAUCCACCUAGUCGCACUAGUUGGUAACAUGUUGCAUUAGUCUCAGAGUCAGUUAAUCAGAGGUAAUGGCAUAACCAAUGGUGGUUGUGGCUUUUUUUAGUUCCAUGACUGCACUGGGCAGCCUCCCCUAAGAUUGGCUACGGUACUCAUAAGGAGUACUGAGAGAACGGGGAGACUGUCAGACUCCUCCUAUCUCUGGAAGUGAUGCUGGAUGUGUGACUGGGUAGUACUAUCUGUUUUUAAAAACGAAAAAGCAAUUUAAAAUGAUGUGCACGGUGCAUUUGGACCAUAUCCAGCUUUGGAAGCAUCUGCUGACUAGGCAGACUUUGAUUUAACAUGCCAUCGGACAGAGCCCUCAGCUUGCCUGUAACCCGCGGGAAAUGGCGCAGGCACCUUACAGGUAUGAUGUUCCAUCCAACAUGCUGAAAAUCUGUCUUCCAAUCGUCCCAUUCAUUUUAUUUUUUCGUUGUGAUGAGCAGUUAAUCAGUGUCAAUGGUAAGAAACAAGGAUACACGCAUAAACAACAUAACAACAGUACCCACACAUGAAUAUCACCAAUACAAUAGUAAUAAAGAUUUACAUUAAAUAUGAAUUGCUAAACACUUAUUAUAACUAAGAUCACCGUGACAUUGCAGAGCAUCUGCACAAUCAGUACAGCAGAGAGAACAUUACGCCCCUUAUUAGAGCCAGAGACUGCAAAUGCCAGCCAGAAAAUGGAUCAUUGCUGGUCUUCUGGUUUAAUGCAGUUAUUUCAGUCAUGUAACUUAUAACAAAGGGAAAGAUAAAGUAACCCUUUGUUAUCACUACAGCCUUCAAGGGAAACCACGUAGGUGCUGUCCAUAGCUCCCAUUUUACAGGCUACUGCUUAAUAGUAGGUUAUUUGAAACCAAGCAGGGAUCUCAUUCGGGAGGAAGACCAGUUUGGAAAACCUUAAUUCUUAAAGAAAUAUCAAACUUUGCUUCAGGCCUUAUUAAUACUUGGAAAGGAGUUAUACACGUGCACACGCUUCAGUGCCCUUCACAACACUGCCCCUCCCUCCUUCGGUUAGGGGAUGUCUACACUGCACACUGCUUUCAGAGGCAUGUAGAGUAUGUACUUGUCUAGCCCCCCUAGCAUGGGCAUAAAUAGCAGUGUAGCUGGUGAGGCGUGGCUUAGGCAAGUAGAGUAAAACCACACCUGAAGGGUCUGGGGAUGUAUGCUAGAACUUACUCACCCAAGCCUCCCCACCUACACUGCUUCCCCUCCACAGGAAAAGACUCCCACAGCAGGGGAAAGGCUCUGCCACCUCCCUGCUGCUGGAGCCCUUUCCUGCCGCAGGGAAAGACUCAGGCAGCUGCUGCAACCUUUCCGCAUUGCCUCCCCUCCGCCAGAGCCUUUCACUGACAUGGGCAGCUACCCACUGCAGUGUGGACACAGCCUGCUUUUCACUGUGGCAUGUAGCUACAUGUACACCGCACACUGCUGCCAGUGCUGUGUGGUGUAGACGUAGCCUUAUUUUGUUGUCCCUUUCUGGAAGGGUGCAAAGCAAUGCUACUUUUAUUCUUCGAAUCCAGAAUGAGAACACACAACUAACCAAAACCACAGAGAGACACAGCACAGGCUGCUCACUAAAACAGAGAGGCACAACUCUCCCCAAGAAGCUGCUACUCUGAAACUCACCCUACUUUACUACAAGCUGGCUGCUUUCUAACUGACUCGUGCUUGCACUAUCACAAUCUUCCCUACAGAGCUCUCUAGCCUACAAGCAGAACCAAGAAAUCCCUGAGCAUUUAAGUCAGAGCAAUACAAUUUUAAUACAGUUUUCCAUAUACCACAUUCCCCACUCCCUGACACCUUCUCGGCUUCACCAGUGAUAUCAUUCUUGUCUGCACCGUUGUCAGAUUCUCACUGAAAUGUCUCCAUGCCUCCUGUGUUGUCCCUUAGGCACCGAUCACCUUCCAGGCUUCUUCUCCUUCAAAUGUCCAGUUAAUGAUGGCUGAGCUGAGAGGCGGAGAGUUGAAUUUGUCUAUUUAACAACAAAGCAAAGGUAUUCCCUGCAGGCUACAGUGUGGCAAACCUUGUGAAAAAGAACAUUUAUGCUAAAUACCAACCUCCGCUGCUAUACCUGCUCAUCACACAUCCUUUCCACAUGCUUUUGUGAACAAAAAUGAGCUCCUAUGAAUGUUUGUGAGAAUAAGAGGGAGCUACAAAUACCAUUCAAGUGAAGCUGUGUCUUCAUUUGAAGGAGUGUCCAAACUUGUUGACUGAGAGACAGUUGAUGGCGGGUUUUCUGUCAGGGAAAGAGCUUUGGUCAUGUGAUUGAUCCUUACAUUUUGUGGUGUUAGGUGAGAAGAAAGAGUGCUGCUGUUCUAGCCAAUUAUUUGUAUUUCAGUAAAGCUUGAAAGCUGUAAGCGUAGAGCCCCUUUGUGCUAGGUGCGGUACGCUUCAUCAGACACAGUUUCCUCCCCAAAGCCUUUACAAUCUAAACAAAGAGUGGAUGGGGAAACAGAGGCACAGAGAUUAAGUGAUUUGCCCAAUGGCACACAGAAGCAUUCGAGGGAAAUCUAUUCUAACUGGCCUCAAAACCUAGACAGUAGGUUUGAGGUACUGGGCCAGGCCCCUCUGUCCUUGAAUUAACUUUUCCUUAGGAAACCAAACAUAAAAUCCAGAUGGUGCCUGAAAAGGUAAUAAUUGGAGCUGGCAAAAAAAAAAAUUCCAAAAAUGUUGAAUUUGUUUUCAUACCACAGUUUUCAAAGAGGAACUGUUUUUUUCAUAUAUUUGAAGUUUACGAUCUUUUUGUUUUGAAAAAUUUAUGGGUUUUGUUCCCCCUCCCAACCCUUUCUAUUUCCUCUUUUCCUCUACUCCCUCUUCUCCUCCAUCUUCCAUUUUGCCACUGCGGGGAUGGGUUGGGGAGGGGAGGAAAAUCUGGAAAAUGAAAAUUUUUCAUUUUAAGGUUCCAUUAAAAAAUAGGUUAUUCGAAAAAACCUGUAGGAUGUUUGGUGAAAUUUUGCUUUUAAUAAAUGCUUUUUUUUUUUAAAUUAAACGAUUUGAUCAAAAAUUUUCAACUGUCGCUCAUAAAAUUUUAACAUAUGGGAUACCAUUACAAUUGUAUGUCCAGUUAUUUUUUAAUUCCUUAUGUAUGCAAGCCUUUAGAGCUGUCACCUUUUCUAGUUCUGGAAAUUUAUUAGAUCACCUCAUAGUCACUGCUUUUCCAAUGUGACUCAGUUUAACUCUUAACCUAGCUUUUGAGUUCAGGUGCUUUAGAUAGCAUGUAAAGAUUUUUUGCAUCUAAAAAUAUAAUUUGAUCAAAUUAGUUUAUUAGCCUGCAGGACAUUCAAGCUAAUUCAAAGCCAGAAAUAUACUUACUGAGCAGUUAGUUCAUGCAUAUGGAGCUAAUUUAAAAGCUAUUAAAGUACCCAAAGUUUUUCCCUUAGAAACUGGAUGAAACUGCACUUAAUUUAAUUUUCUCAUUCUGAAUAAGUGGCUAAAUUAUUUCUGUUCCAUAUUUAUUAGUGAGGAAAGAAGGAUGGAAAACUAUUUUCCUUUUUUAAAAAAAAAGGGAGGGGGUGGGAGCAAUAAUAAUAAUUUGCAUUUAAUAUAUCACCUUUCCUCUGAGGAUCUCAAAGACCUUUGCAAAGGUGGGUAAACUGGCGGUAUACAUGGAGGUUGGCAUAUGUACGCAUCGUCCGUCACUGGCAUUUAUUUUCUAUAACCACCAUUGCAGCUGGUUCCUGCAGCUCUGAAAACCGAUUGAAACUAGAGAAAAUGUCAUUUUUUCAGAGGGAAAUUAAAAGUGAAUUAUGCUGUCAUUGGCUAGCUUCUCUUUUCAUUGGUUAAGGGUGACCUCCUUGAGCUGUGAUGUUUUAGGAGCACUUUUCAAGGGCAGUCGCAGUAGACUGCUACUGUCGCUCCUUAAGCUGACCCUUAUAAAAACAGCCACUAGGUGAGGAAGAAGGAUAAAUUGAACUUCUUAACUUUAUCCCCAAACCCAUAAAAUAGGUAUGGAGAAGAACCACAGGGGAUUACACAGCAGAUGCUGCUCUUCCCCCAUAAAAAUAAGGGUAAGAACACUUUGUACGUUCAAAGAUACAUCUAGUGAUCAUUUUUUGUUAUCUAGGUCUAUUUCUCAAGUCUUAUCACCAGCCUCUCAAGUUUAGAUCACCUUGGAAACAGCCCUCAAGCAUCACAAACUCUCGGGGGGAGUUUUCACUACCCACCUCUUUAAUCUUUCAGGCAGUCUCAGGAAUGAGAUCUGUCUCAAGCUGCCAACCUUUAUUAAACAAUUCUGGAUGUUCCAGUUUAAAUCUCCGUCAUGCUUUCUGCUGCACCUUUCUCUUGGUGCGUCAUCCCAUUGCUUUGGCUUCCUGCUCUAAAAUGAAAUUGAGAGACAGCAACUUGAGCCAGAUUUUUCAGAGGUGCAGAGCACCAGAGGUGCCCCUUGACUUCAGCUAGAGUGGGGUCUGCACAGCACUUCUGAAAAUCAAGUCCUUAGUCCCUACCUCAAUGAUGCAGGGAUUGUGUGUCCAUGGGCUGCUUGUGCAGAUGCCCUGUGGCCAUCUCUUAAGGUUCUGCGGCAUCUGGAUGAAUCUUUCUACAUCACGGCACCUUCUCUCAGGGCUGUAUCAGUCACCUGUGUCAUCUACCUGCUUACACAGCAUCUCCUUUUGCUCUGGUCAUUCAGGAAAUAUGUGACAGACAAGGAAGAAGACAAAAUAUCAGGCCACAAUUGAAACUAAUCUCAAAAGAUUAGGGUGAAAGCUCCCCUUUCUCCCUCAGCCCUUCAACUACCUGGCUGCUAUUUGGGUCCAGGGCAGUAAGGCUACUCAAUUUAACUGAGAGGGGAGGUGACACUAAGUCCAGAACCCCCAAGUCCUCUGUCAGGGAUUUAGCCCAUGUUGGAAUCCCUUAUGUACUCUUCUUAGGUAGGUGGGCAGGUAUCCAUAAGAACUGAUUUAGUCUGUACGAGAUUUAAGACAAACCUCACCUCAAAACAAGCUGAGCUGGGUUCAGUAGCCUCCUGGGUGCCAUGUCUAGGUUUACUCAGGAGCUGGCUGACCCCUCUUGCUCAGUCUGUCUGCAUUAGAUAUGGGUAACAAAUUGUGAUAAAGGGAUUUCGGGGGUGGGGGGCGUGUAAAGUGUAUUUGUCCUUUUCCUUUUAACUAUCCAAACUGACUGGCCAGCCCUGGCAGGCUGUAGGGGAGAUAACAAAUCUAACUGGACAUAAACCAGUCUUGUCUGGUGGGAAAUCUCUUCUCCACCCCCUCAAACUGGCUAGAUUCCUAGCAUACCCAGGGAUCCACUCAGUCAACCACACACGGCCAGGAGUGGGAAGCAGAGGUUCAACUGCAGAGACUGAAUGGUAUACCCAAUCCCAAAAGGGGCUGUCCAUCCAACCAGCUUCCAGGCCCUUCCCUCCCCAAACUAGCCCAUUACAGCUUUAGGAGAGACGUAGACACACGCCGCAGCACACGCUCCUCAUCCCUCAAGCACUUCCCUUAUCCAUCAUGACCCAACCAAGGCUUUAUCUGUUCCCUGCCAGUUGACCACAACCGCCUCUGCACUGGCGGGGAGAAGGAGGUAUUUAUUUGCUCCAGCAUUUGUCUUAAUAACUCUUAUUAGUCUCCCUUUCCCUUCCCUCACUCUCCUAGGCCUGCCUCUCCUCUCUUUCAGACCAGCAACAUAGUCCUGGUGCUAUAAUGAGAAAGGUGACCACACAUAAAGAAACAUCCUCCAUCUGUCUCUUUCCCUCAGAGGCAGCCUUCCUUGCGCCGGGGGCGGGAAUUGUGAAUAGGCUCUUUCAUUCCUUCCAACCUGCCUGAAGCCAGCUGCCAGUGGAGAGGGUGCAUAAAAGAUGCAAAAAAUGAAGUUAUUGAAACUUAGCAGAAAUUUUAGCUUGUUUGAACUUGCCCCUCCCCGCCCCGCCCCCAAUCACUAUCAGAACAAUGCGGAAAGAGUUUCUACCUGCAUUCUCUUGCAAUGGGGAAGAGUCGUAUAAAUCCUAUUAAGGAUGCUCACUGAACACCAUGCUUGCCCCUUUUUUUUUUUUUAAACCGCCCUUCAUGAAGUUAAAACCAUACAGAACUGAAACACUGGACUGGCUCCUGUGUACUGUUUAUCGUUCCGAGCAUGUUAGCUUCGUUUACUGCACUGAUGUUACUAAGUGAAAGUUUCAUGGUCCUGCCUGAUGUAAAAUGACAAAGUGUAACACUUAAAGAAAAUUAUUCCCAGUUGCUCUCAAGCAGGUGAAACGAAUCCAACCAAAACCCAAACCUGUAUUGCCCGAGUUCUACCCCACCAUAAAGCAAUCAAAUCACAGAGCAUGCAAAGCUGAGUGACUUCCAACUGAGCUGAUAACUGGGUGCAUUAUAUUUAAUUAAAAAAACAGCAAAGUUGGUUUAGGGUUCUGAGGAGCACUGAGUGGGAAAAUUAAAAAGACUGAUUUCAAAAUGUGCUUCAAGAUCCUCUGCCAACUCUAGAUCUUAUUCACGUUUCCACAAGCACUAGCCCUCCUUUAAUUAAAAAGAAGGAACAAAUUCCAUCAUUGUAAAAUAUUAGCAGACAGAAUGAGGAGAAACAUCUGUCCUGUAUUAACUGAACUUGCUUUAGGAUUUUAUUGGCCUAAGAUGCUCCCAUUUUACAAUUGAGGUUUUAUUAAUAUUGAGAAUGCAGCAAAUUACACUUGAAUUAAUUUAAAUUAAUUUGAAUAUUUGCCACAUCCACUCAAGACCAGCCGACUAACUGGAUUUUAAUAGUCAUAGGGUGAAAUCCUGACUCUAGUAAAGAUUAUAGGAGUUUUGCCAUUGAUUUUAAUGGGGACAAGAUUUCAUCCUGGGUCUUCAUCAACUCUUACCGAACUCAAGUGCAAAGCAAAAGGCAUCGAGGCCCCAAUCCUACCCCAUUUCCAUCGAAGGUGCAAGACUGGUCACCUAAAUCAGUUGGGAUGUAGGGAUACAUCUAUUCCUGUCCAUCCAAAGCUUCAUCAGAUUCACUGAACUCAAACCAACAAUGUACAACUUCCCCACCAUUGCUAUAAUGAUGGAGAUAUCUUGGAGACCAAAAAAAUCUGCAUUCCACCUCCUCCUUCUGUAGUUAAAAUAAAUACAAAUCUAUGUGCUGUAUCUAACUGUCCUACUAAGGAUCACCUAUAACCUUCCUAAAAAGCUGGAUUUAUCACCUGAUGGAAGGUGAGAAGGUACCUAUUCCCCUCCCAGAAUUCAAGAGACAAUCCAUCUUAAGAUGUUUGUUAAUGCUGGUGGAAAUACAAAUACAGCAGUCACCAAAAAGCCAUUCCUUUCCCCCCAAAACAGUCAAUAAUACUAGUGGUCUCAGAUAAUUGGUUCUAAAGACAAAUGGCUCCUUUGUGAAUAGAAACAGUGAGGGUUUGGAACAAUGUAUCAACUUCAUAAAAUGAUCCACGGUCAUUAGUAAAGAUGCCAGAGCUAAACCUCUUUAACUAAGUGUCUGGGAAAGGAUUUAAACUUCAUGUAAUACAUAAAAAGCUUUUGCUCAAAUAAAUUGGUUAGUCUCUAA